GAAGUGAGCCAGACGAUCGCUGCUGUGAAGGUCUUCGUGACUAAAGCAGGGGAGGAAAGUCCGGGCUUCAUCGGGCAAGGUGCCAGGUAACGCCUGGGAGGCGUAAGCCUACGGAAAGUGCAGCAGAGAGUAGACCGCCAUUUUGCAACUGAACUUCGGUUUAGCCUAGAAUAUGGUAAGGGUGAAAGGGUGCGGUAAGAGCGCACCGCAUGACUGGUAACAGUUCAUGGCAUGGUAAACCCCACCUGAAGCAAGACCAAAUAGGAAUCCUUAAGGUAUGGCCCAUACUGGAUUCGGGUAGGUCGCUUGAGCAUAUGAGUGAUUGUAUGCCUAGAGGAAUGAUCGUUCUAGACAGAACCCGGCUUAUCGGCUCACUUCAACA
rfam:Acinetobacter sp. Ver3 contig00077, whole genome shotgun sequence.